GGUAGUAAAAGUCGUAACAAGGUUUCCGUAGGUGAACCUGCGGAAGGAUCAUUAAAGUUAUAGUCCCCCGGCCCUCUGGGCUGGGGUCUUCUAUACCACCCUUUGUUUAUUACACCUUUGUUGCUUUGGCAGGCCUGCCCUCGGGCUGCUGGCUCCGGCCGGCUCGCGUCUGCCAGAGGACCUAAACUCUGUUUGUAUAUGAAGUCUGAGUACUAUAUAAUAGUUAAAACUUUCAACAACGGAUCUCUUGGUUCUG
rnacentral:misc_RNA from 1 species